rnacentral:rRNA from 1 species
GACGAACGCUGGCGGCGUGCUUAACACAUGCAAGUCGAACGGAAAGGCCCCUUUGGGGGUACUCGAGUGGCGAACGGGUGAGUAACACGUGCGUAACCUGCCCUUGACUUCGGGAUAACUUCAGGAAACUGGGGCUAAUACCGGAUAGGAAUCAUUUCUUCAUGGUGGGGGUUGGAUAGCUUCGGCGGGUUUGGAUGGACUCUCGGCUUAUCAGCUUGUUGGUGGGGUAGUGGCUUACCAAGGCUUUGACGGGUAGCCGGCCUGAGAGGGCGACCGGCCACAUUGGGACUGAGAUACGGCCCAGACUCCUACGGGAGGCAGCAGUGGGGAAUAUUGCACAAUGGGCGGAAGCCUGAUGCAGCAACGCCGCGUGCGGGAUGACGGCCUUCGGGUUGUAAACCGCUUUCAGCAGGGGCGAAGCUUUUGUGACGGUACCUGCAGAAGAAGCACCGGCUAACUACGUG